rnacentral:rRNA from 1 species
CACGCCCUAAACGAUGCGAACUGGAUGUUGGGCUCAACUUGGAGCUCAGUAUCGAAGCUAACGCGUUAAGUUCGCCGCCUGGGGAGUACGGUCGCAAGACUGAAACUCAAAGGAAUUGACGGGGGCCCGCACAAGCGGUGGAGUAUGUGGUUUAAUUCGAUGCAACGCGAAGAACCUUACCUGGCCUUGACAUGUCUGGAAUCCCUGAGAGAUCGGGGAGUGCCUUCGGGAGCCAGAACACAGGUGC